GGGAUUUCGGGCUCCAGCAGCACGCAGCCUCCAGUCUUGAGUGACUCCUGGGCUUUGGCUCAGCAGUAACUCCUCCAUAAAAACAAGUGUGUGCAUCUGGCUGUUAGAAGAAUUCAUGCUCAUCCGGGAAAAAUGAGGAAGCUGUGAGUACCAGUGGAAGGAACGAGCCAGGAAGAGGGACUGGAACCAUCUCAGAAGCCAUGCCCCUCAGGCUGGAACUUGCCCUGUCUCCUCGCAGAUGAGGACAAGUCCUGCGCUUGGGGAUCCUCUGUACGCCCGUUCACUGGUGAGUAUGUAUGACAGCAAUUUCUGAUUUCACUAGUUCUUGCUUCUAACACCUAAAUGGUGCUUUGUCUAGGGAAACGCUUUAAAGAGCAUUUUCCCCCAGUACGUUUAUAAUACAUUUCAUAUUUACCUCCAGAAAAUACUGUGGAUGUGAUAAUAAUUAUAAAAGACAACCCACAGACAACAAUGAAAGUUAAGAAUUAAGAUAUAUUCUGAUAGAUUUUUGCAGCAUAUUGACAUAAAGGCAGUUUUGGUUUUGACAUAUGUACACUAAAAUGAUAUCUGUAAUGCUAUUAAAACUCAAGUGUACAAGGCACCAGUAUAUUCUGGCAAAAAUAAUAUAAUGAUCAACAGUUAAUGAAAGACUUGUGCUUUGAGCUUCUAACAAAAUGUUAAUAUGUAGAGAAUCUUGUGAUUCAUGAUGCUUUGGUUCUCAACCAGGGUUAUCAAAUAAGCUAAAAGUAUCAGAAGAGGACAAAGAAAGUACGUAAAACAUGGAUAAAAGCAGAAACCGAGAAAAGAUAGCUUUGAUAUUUAAAGUGUUAGAUUAUGGCCUCUAUAUAAUGUCAUAUAUGCCAGAUCCCCCCCCAAAAUCACACCCUCAAAUUAUGAUCUUCAUUAUUCAAAAGAUGUUUGGCGUGUUGGUGGUACAGUGGUGAGCGUAGUUGCCUUCCAGAAGAUGGUUGGUGUAUAAUUACUAUAGAAUUUCUUGCUCUCUUGGGAGGUGGCUUAGUAGAAGGUUGAGUCAGGCAAGCUGGGGCUGUUUAUUCAGUGUGCUGUGCUGUGCUGUGCUGUGCUGUGCUGUGCUGUGCUGUGCUGUGCUGUGUCUGAAUGCCUGGGAGUUUGCGUUGUUAACCUUUCCAGGGUGCUAGAUCCCUUUGAGAUUAUGAUGGAAGCCAUGAAUCCUUUUCCCACACCUGUAUGCAAACAUGUGCCUGCCCAUUUACAGACCCAAAGAAGGACAUCCAUGUACCCCACGUUAAGAAGGCUGCCCUGGACUAAGCCCUCACUGUGACUCUGCUGUUCUUAAGCUUCCCAGGAAACACUGUUAUGUAAAAAGACGAGCCAUCCAGGUCAAAAAGAAGUCAUUGUGGUUGCUAGGUGGGGGUGCAAAGCCAAAGACAAAGGGUGGGGAAAAUACAUGACUAAU
rnacentral:lncRNA from 10 species